ensembl:lncRNA
CUCCAGGAGGCUGUAAGUGCCACGAGGUUCCUGACACCUCCCCUGUCCUCUCCCCAGCUGUCCCCGGCCCUGCUGCAGCCACAGGUCAUUGUCGUGGCCAUCGUGGGCGAGUUGCUGGCCACCCUGCCCAAUCUGGAUGGGGAGAUGCUGCUGGUGUCCCCAGGGUGCCUGUACCAGGAACUGGAGGAAUUCACCAGGGAUCUCUGGGUCACCCUGUACCACACUGAUGCCACCUGGUGUUGCCGCAAUGUCACCUCCAAUGAUGAUGACCGUCUCACCUCCCUGAGCCAGGCCCUGGCUGCCUACAAGAGCAUCCCAUGGACCACCUGGGAUGAUGUGAUAAUGGUGGCCAGCAAGUGGCAGCGAUCGAUGGAUGAGCCAGUGAACAGCUGGGCCGAGCUGGCCAGGAAGGCCACCAAGCUCCGCAACACCUGGAAGGAGGUGGUCACUGAUGCGGCUGACAGGGCGGCCUUCUACACCGCCCGGGCCAGGGCCCUACAGGACGAGGCUGCCCGUUAUGGGACAGCUCAGGAAAAUAUUGUAGAGCUGGGUCAGGCCCUGGGCAGGGAGGAGGGGGCCAAGGUGGUGGCCGGGUAUGAAGCUUGGGUGAGGAGGGAGAUCAAGGUGUCUGCCAGCCAGGCAACAAGGGCCACCAUGGAGAGACAGCAGGCAGGGGUGGCCCUGGGGCUGCUGGAGCGCUUGGUGGCCGCAUGUGACGAAGCCACCGCGUUCCCCCGGGAGCUGCAGCGCCUGCUCAGGGACAUCGAGGCCGCCCUGAAGGAGACAAAUGAGGCGUCUCCUGAUGUCCCCGAGGACAUGGUGGCCAAGGUGGCCGACGCCGAGCGGCUGUGGGAGGCCAACGCCUGCCUGGCCAAUGAUCACCUGGCAGAGACAGUUCGAGACAUCAUCAAGUUCUUGUUCCCUGGUGGUCCUGCCAGCCUCAGUGCCCAUGAGGUGGCUGAGCGGUGCCAAAGAGCCAUCGAGGACAUCCCGAGGCUCCUUCAACCCCUGNAGUGUCCCCAAGGUGUCCCCAGUGAGCAUGGAGCUCCAAGAGCUGUCUCCGGCCCUGCUGCAGCCAGAGGUCACUGCCGUGGCCAUCCUGGGUGAGCUGCUGGCCAGUCUGCCCAGGUGGGAUGAGGAGAUGAAUCUGCACGUCCCAAAGUGCCUGUAUUGGGACCUGAAGAAUUUCACCAGCCACCUUUGCUUCACCUUGUACUGCACUGAUAACACUUGGUGGCGCCACAGUGUCACCUCUGGUGAUGAUGACCCUGUCACCUCCCUCAGCCGGGCCCUGGCUGCCUGUGAGAGCACCCGAGGGACCACCUGGGACAAUGUGAUAAAGGCGGCCAGCAAGUGGCAGCGGUCAGUGUCUAUGCAUGUGAACAGAUGGGCUGAGCUGGCCAGGACAGCCACCAAGCUUCGCAACGCCUGCAGGGAGGUGGUCACUGAGGCGGCCGACAGGGAGGCCUCAGCCAGGGCCUGGGCGAGGGACUUGCAGGCCUUGGCUGCCCGUGAUGGGACAGUUCAGGAAAACAUGGUGGAACUGGGUGAGGCCCUGGUCAGGGAGGAGGGGGCCAAGGUGGAGGACAGGUAUGAAACCCAGGUGAGGAGAGAGGCCA